CCUUCCGUUAGGUGAACCUGCGGAAGGAUCAUUAA
rnacentral:rRNA from 1 species